ACCUUGCUGAUGAGUGCCAAGUAGCACGAAACGUGAGUCCAGGGU
rfam:Schistosoma curassoni strain Dakar, Senegal genome assembly, scaffold: SCTD_scaffold0000006